rnacentral:miRNA from 1 species
UAGUACGACCCAUGUUGGCUCA